ACACAAGCCGAAAACCCGGUUGCAUUAACCCACUCAAGCCAGACUGUCACGGCCUGGUGCAGUGGGCGAGUCAUCGAACUGGAUCGAGAUGGUGCUAGCUGAACAAAAACAUUGCUUCCAACAAAUCUCUGGUCGAACAAUGCAUAAUUACACUUGUACGUCUUGCCUGCAGGGAUUUCAAAAGUUUCCUUCCCAUACAGUGGAUUUGAGAAGUUUAAAGCUUCUGGCGGCUCCACUAAGAGAUAUAGAAACAGGAGUUGCAGUUAAAAAAAAAUCGCUAGACGUCUGAAGAUGAAACGUUUAAUCACCCUGUGGUUUACAUUGGGAAAAUGUACAAGCUGAAGCAGUCUGUAGGCGAAAUUGAUGCGAUCAGGCCAUUGGAAAAGUCACAAGGUGUG